AAAAAAAUCCCUUGUCUCUUUGAAUUCCAAAUUAUUAAGUGUGCAUUGUGCUUUAAGACAGUUUGUGGGUACUUACUUGACAUUAUACAGUGCCUUCAUAAAAUAGCCUCAGUUACUGAAAAAUCGUUUAUCUUUCUGUGACUUUCAGCAGGUGACAACUCAAACAGUGGUGCGUAAAAUAGUGAGGUGCAAGCAGGACAACCCGAGCUUGUUCGCCUGGGAAAUUCGGGAUCGGCUGCUGACUCAAAGGGUUUGCGAUCCCUGCGGGGUGCCCAGUGUCAGUUCGGUCAAUCGCAUUCUCCGCACGACCAACACAUGCUCACCGCUUAUAGUUGAUGCCCCAAACCACGACGACGAAUCCAUCUACAAACAACGUCUCAACGGAUGCAAUCGGAAGCAGCUGAGCCUGCUGCAACAGCAUCAAAGCGCAAAAUCCUAUGACGAUCCGACCGUCAAAGAUUCGCUGGCGGCCAAUUUCGACCUGAAGUUCAACUGGCGCUCCAAGUCUGUAGAAGGAGGUGGUGUCUGCUCACGGGAGAUGGACGCCAAACCGAAAAGGCACUCGUUCACGAUAGAGGAACUUCUGAAAAACGACGGAGUCGAAUCGGAAAGGUUGAGCGCGGAUGGAAACAGGGACAGGGAUGUGGCGAGACCUCGUAGUCUCUCGUACCCUGCGGCGUCGGCUGCUAUCCAAUCCUUCCUCCUUUCUUGUCCACCGUGCGGUCUGCUCCUGGACAAGCAGUGCACAUGCCUCCUCACCAGCGGCCCCGAGGAAGGAGCUGAAAAGACGUAAAAUCUUCACGGAUUAACUGUAAUUGUACCUCUAGUCAUCAAGUAGUUAAGUUUAUUUUCCCUCAUGUUAAGGGUAGGGACGAGGCCUAUCUGCUUUAAGGGGAUCCGUACAGGAUUCCGGGUCAUUGGCGUGUGACCUAUCGCAUCAAAUAAGUCAAAAAUCUUGGCAGAUAUUUUACUUUUGACUAAAAAUCCUUCCGUCGAAAGCGACGGCGUGGACGUCCCGUGAAAGGUUGGCGACAAGGGGUGGAGGAGGAGAUCAGAAGGUGCCAAUUGCCUGAUGAUCUCUGGGAGGAUAGGGGGCAAUGGCGAUUGGGUGUCGCAGAGCGCGAUGCGGCGCUAUAGAAGCGGCUUUAUGUAUGUACUAAAAAUAAGACGAUAGCCUCUGCGCUUGCGGAUUCAAUAAUUUAUGUUGUUUGAUAAACAGCUUACCAUGUAAGAUCUUACCAUGUAAGCUCUUACCUGAAACAACUUUCUGUAUGGCAAAGCUGCCAUUUGACAUCAGCCAAUUUCAGAUUUUAUAUCAAAAUUAAUGUGUUUUACACAUGUGGCAAAAGUUUGCAACAUCCCAAUUUUUUUCAUUAUAUAUUUUAUGUUAUUCCAUUCUAUUUCAUUUUAUGCCCUUUUGUAAAAAUAAAAAGUUAAUUGGCUAUGAGGUAUUGAAGACAACUUUAGUUCGCAAGCUCCUUUCUUCAGACAUGUUCAGACAUUCUGCGCUUUUGAAUUUACAAGAUAUGACCCUAUGUAUGGUUGAUGAUGUCACAUUUGCUUGAUCUCCCCCCCCCUUUUUUUCACCCACUUGUCACUCACCUCCAGACCCUCCUCUCCCUCCUAUUCAUGUGGCGUAAUUUAAGGACGGCCCAAUAAUGUCUCCAUGCGUAUUGUGUCAAGCAACUCGUGUUUGUCUCUUCGCCUGCUUUUCUGGCGUAGCGUUAAGGUCUCUGAAGUGAUUUCUGCAGUUUCUGCACUUUGCAGUCUUGGCGAUCCCUCGUGUGGUUAUUCACCAUGGUCAUUGUUUUGUAAAUAAAAAUGUCUGCAUGCACUGAAAAAACACUCUCGGCGUUUUUACCAAGGUCCGUUGGUACCUUUACCAUCUCACUUUUUUUACCAAUUAUUGGUAAUUUUACCAUGACAGACUGGUAAGCUUACCUAAAAACCGGUAUUUUUACUGUUUUUUUCAGGUAAGAAUACCACUUUUAUUGGUAAUCAAUUCCUGGUAACUUUGCCAUUUUAUCUCGGUAAUUCUACCACAGUCGAUAAAAAAUAUUGGCAUGUUUACCAAGGUUCAGUAAAAUUACCGAGAAAUUUCAAAAAUUUUACCGAGAUUUCUCGGUAAAAUUACCAACUCCAUAUAUGGUCAUUUUACCAAGAAAAAACUGGGAUCAAAUAGAACCCUGAAUUCUUGGUAAUUUUACCCUUUUCUUAGUAAAUACACCGAGAUUUUUUUUUCAGUGUGCGUCAAGCGACUCCCGUUUGUCGGCACGCCUACUUUUUUGGAGCAGCGUUUAAAUCUCUGCAGUGACUCCUCCCUUUUGAUCCAAUUUUUUUAAAAAAAAGAGAAAAAAACUCAGGUUUUUAAAGCUGGGAAGUAUACUGCAUUCAACGGUGCAAUUAGUUUUUUUUCUAGCAAAAUUAGUUCGCGAGAAAAUGCUCAGGACACCUCACUGGAUGACCCUCGUGCAUUUUCAAAAAAUGGCGCGUGCUUUAGAUAUUGAAACCGAUACUUUACGAUGUUUGUUAAAAAGCUUGUAGUUGAAAUCAGCUCAUCACGUAAUUUUCCACUUAUUAAGCUGCAGAACAACUUUAUACGUCGCGUCGCAAAGUUGCUGCAAAAAAGGGGUUGACGAAACUGACUAAAAAAUGACGAAAUUGGAGGGGACGAAAAUGAAACUACUCAAUUCGGAACCACAGAAAAUUAAAAACUUUUGAUGCGAUCUGGAAGAAUGUUCAUUAUUUUUACCCUUAAAAAAUAACCCUUCUAGCUCCAAACGAUUCCAAGACUUUUGUUUUCGGCCCACCUUACUGUAUAAUGAGUAGGAGGUGUAUUUGUAAGAAAAAAUUGUACAUUUUAAAUUAGUUACCAUUUACUUUAGAUGUAUAUGUAAGUUCUUUAUUUGUUCGUGUUCUUUUCAUUCCUUUCAAUACAAAUAAAUAAUCUGUAGAAAUCAAUUACAAUAUUGAAUAUAGUAAAGAUUUAUUUAAUGUACAUUAAAAAUAUAAAAUUGAUGAAAAAUAAGUACAAUAUUUGACGAUGUGCGCACCUCUAAUGUAGAUGUUCCUUAAUCCAAAAUCCAUUACCUGUUGUCAUUUUGGGCUCCCGAUGAUGGGCUUCUAUUCAGAAUUAUAUUUAUAAAAAUAUGUAAAUAAAGAGGAGAAAAUUAGAUGGGUUUAAUUUAAUAUUGUACCUUUUGAAACGACAAUGAUUCCAACAAACUGCACAAAAACUUCAAAAUCAUAAUUUGAAAACCGCUGACGCCGCAAGUUCGAAUAAUCGCGUUGAACACAGGCGCUGGCGCGCACCGCAGGCUCAGGUAGCGCCUUACAACUCUGCAGGAUACUUCAUGCAUUGCACGUAAACCACGGUGCGCGAGCAAGACGUUGGAAAGUCGUAAUCUCCUGGUAUCGAUUUAUCGAACCUACCUACCCCGUUGUGCACCAUUUGCAAACAGUGCACAUCGCGAGAUUGCAAUCCUAGAUCACUGGAUUGUAGAGAUUUUGCAAUCCUGUAUGUUUUCCGGUGAAAAUAUGAUUUACCAGGGCAAAUUUUCCAAAUUGGAAUUCUUUCGCUCGGAAAACGUCAAACUUUGCUAACUUCUAGGGAGAGAAAGUGGGCAUUUUUUUUCGUCACAAAAAGUCAAAAUUUCCAGGGAGAUAUAUUCUUGGUAUCACAUUCACACAAAAAUGAACUCUGGCAAUCUAACCUAGCUUCGGCAAUUUUUGCGAAAUGACCAACGCAUAUGGUCUACCUGCAUUAUUUAUGGCUCUUCUUUUUCCCUUCAAUGUAACGUUUAAAGAAAAGAUUAUCAAAUGCACGUCCUAAUAAUUAUAUGAUGUUAUUCAAUGAAAAUUGACGUCGAAACUCCCAAAACCACAUAUCUCGUUAUCGGUGUUUAAAAAUUUCAGCUCCCUUUUUAUUUCUUUGGAGGUGAGCAAAUCGGUAUCAGUCCUUGAAUUUUUUAAGAAUUUUCUUCGCACACAGAAUCAACAUACGGAAGAUUGAAACAACUGACGUCAAACAGUUGUCAUUGAAAAAAUAAAAUAGGUUCCUAUGACAGGAGACAGGAAGUCAUAGAAGGUCGCAAACCGAGAUACGAUGUUUGGGGGUUUCACCGUCAAAAUAAAAGAAGAGGUGCUGUUUUAACAAAAAAAUCACCAAAAAUAAAAAAAUCCCCUACGAGGAAAACAAAUUACCUAUACUUAACAAGAUCACAUUUUGCUAAAAGGAAACAGCGCGACAGUGUUUUCAAAAUCGUGCGACUUGUACAGUAUUAAAAUUUACACAAUUAUUUUCCUGAAAGUUAAGAAUUUUUGUGGGAAGCUGAAAUUUUUCGCUAUUCUGGGAGAUUUUUUCGGUAAUUAUGAAGAGGCAACAUUUUUACGACCUUGUAAUCGCGCUGGUUCUUUUUGCUAAAUACAACGGUUAUCUUUACUCCUUUUUUUACGGUUUCGAACAACUGCCUGCGAUUACCUACAAGAUACGCGUUUUUGGAAUUAACUCUGAAAUUCCUGCAUUUCUUAAGUUCUUCGUUUUAAGGUGACGUUCAUAUUCUUUCGACCAAAAUAUUUUGAUGGCAGAUGAAAGACUUCUCUUAAGCAGUUUUUUUCCUUUAACAGGAGACCAACUUAAAUAUCUGCUUAAAAUUGUAUACUUUUAAAUGAGGAAAAAAAUUGUGGUACGUA
rnacentral:lncRNA from 1 species